rnacentral:rRNA from 1 species
GAACGCUGGCGGCGUGCCUAACACAUGCAAGUCAACUUGACUGAAGGAGCAAUCUGACAGUAGAGUGGCGCAAGGGUGCGUAACGCGUAAGUAACUUGCCCCAAGGUAAGGAAUAACGUCGAGAAAUCGGCGCUAAUACCUCAUAAUGCAGCGGAUCCGCAUGGAUAUGUUGUUAAAGGUUUACCGCCUUGGGAUAGGCUUGCGUCUGAUUAGCUAGUUGGUGUGGUAACGGCACACCAAGGCUACGAUCAGUAACUGGUCUGAGAGGAUGAUCAGUCACACUGGAACUGAGACACGGUCCAGACUCCUACGGGAGGCAGCAGUGAGGAAUAUUGGGCAAUGCUCGAAAGAGUGACCCAGCAACGCCGCGUGGAGGAUGAAGGUAUUCUAUAUCGUAAACUCCUGUGAGAGCAGACGAAAGACAGAUUAUUAAUCUGGAUGACUGUAUGCUCAGAGGAAGCCCCGGCUAACUACGUG